GUAGAACGCUGAAGAGAGGAGCUUGCUCUUCUUGGAUGAGUUGCGAACGGGUGAGUAACGCGUAGGUAACCUGCCUUGUAGCGGGGGAUAACUAUUGGAAACGAUAGCUAAUACCGCAUAACAAUGGAUGACACAUGUCAUUUAUUUGAAAGGGGCAAUUGCUCCACUACAAGAUGGACCUGCGUUGUAUUAGCUAGUAGGUGAGGUAACGGCUCACCUAGGCGACGAUACAUAGCCGACCUGAGAGGGUGAUCGGCCACACUGGGACUGAGACACGGCCCAGACUCCUACGGGAGGCAGCAGUAGGGAAUCUUCGGCAAUGGGGGCAACCCUGACCGAGCAACGCCGCGUGAGUGAAGAAGGUUUUCGGAUCGUAAAGCUCUGUUGUAAGUCAAGAACGAGUGUGAGAGUGGAAAGUUCACACUGUGACGGUAGCUUACCAGAAAGGGACGGCUAACUACGUGCCAGCAGCCGCGGUAAUACGUAGGUCCCGAGCGUUGUCCGGAUUUAUUGGGCGUAAAGCGAGCGCAGGCGGUUUGAUAAGUCUGAAGUUAAAGGCUGUGGCUCAACCAUAGUUCGCUUUGGAAACUGUCAAACUUGAGUGCAGAAGGGGAGAGUGGAAUUCCAUGUGUAGCGGUGAAAUGCGUAGAUAUAUGGAGGAACACCGGUGGCGAAAGCGGCUCUCUGGUCUGUAACUGACGCUGANGCUCGAAAGCGUGGGGAGCGAACAGGAUUAGAUACCCUGG
rnacentral:rRNA from 1 species